rnacentral:snoRNA from 1 species
CCCCUCCAGUUUCCUUACCCAUUGGAUCUAAACACUGAGUGAUUUUAAGAGAAGGAAAAUUAAAAUUGAAACUGACUUCAGUGUUUUUUGUGGCACAAAGCUGGUUUCAAACAAUU